UGGGGAAUCUUGCGCAAUGGGGGAAACCCUGACGCAGCGACGCCGCGUGCGGGAUGAAGGCCUUCGGGUUGUAAACCGCUUUCAGCAGGGACGAGGCCUUAUGGUGACGGUACCUGCAGAAGAAGCUCCGGCUAAAUACGUGCCAGCAGCCGCGGUAAUACGUAUGGAGCAAGCGUUAUCCGGAUUCAUUGGGCGUAAAGCGCUCGUAGGCGGUCUGUUAGGUCGGCAAGUUAAAUCCGGGGGCUCAACCCCCGUCCGCUUCCGAUACCGGCAGACUUGAGUUUGGUAGGGGAAGGUGGAAUUCCUAGUGUAGCGGUGGAAUGCGCAGAUAUUAGGAAGAACACCGGUGGCGAAGGCGGCCUUCUGUUCCAUAACUGACGCUGAGGAGCGAAAGCUAGGGGAGCGAACAGG
rnacentral:rRNA from 1 species